rnacentral:rRNA from 1 species
AUUGAACGCUGGCGGCAGGCUUAACACAUGCAAGUCGAGCGGGGUGAUGGUGCUUGCACUAUCACUUAGCGGCGGACGGGUGGGUAAUGCUUAGGAAUCUGCCUAUUAGUGGGGGACAACAUCUCGAAAGGGAUGCUAAUACCGCAUACGUCCUACGGGAGAAAGCAGGGGAUCACUUGUGACCUUGCGCUAAUAGAUGAGCCUAAGUCGGAUUAGCUAGUUGGUGGGGUAAAGGCUCACCAAGGCGACGAUGGGUAGCUGGUCUGAGAGGACGAUCAGCCACACUGGGACUGAGACACGGCCCAGACUCCUACGGGAGGCAGCAGUGGGGAAUCUUGCGCAAUGCGCGAAAGCGUGACGCAGCAACGCCGCGUGAGGGAAGAAGGCCUUCGGGUUGUAAACCUCUUUCAGGAGGGACGAAGGUUCAGGCGCGAAUAGCGUCCUGGACUGACGGUACCUCCAGAAGAAGCCCCGGCUAACUACGUGCCAGCAGCCGCCGUAACAC